CUCUCUCUCUCUCAAAAAAUAAAUAAAUGUUAAAAAAAUAAUUAACUGUUGUUACUGUGUGCACAAUACUCAAUUUUUGGUUAUAUGUAUACAGGCUUAGCUCUUCAAUGGGAUGGAAGUGAUGUCUUACACAUCUUUGUAAUUCUCCCUUUAGUGCCGAGAUGAGUGCUUCAUAAUUCUAGACACUGAACACAGGCCUCCUGGACUGAUUUCACUUUCCUGGUUAAUGACCUUCAAAAUUUUCCCCAUGGCCCAAAUUUCCCAAGUUAAUAACUUCAUCAAGUACGUACUCCACACCUCCCAGACCUUAUUCUUGAGGAUCCUGAUUACUGAUUUCCAGGCGGGCAUUUCUGUCCCACGGGAUUUCUCAUGCCUUUUAGAAAUCUGAAAGUACAGGGGUAGUUGCAUUAUGCCCAAGACUCAGUUCAGGACUUGGUUAUUUCUUUUUUGUUCCUUUAGGGGAUUAACAUCAAGCAUGGACUGACUUUUGGUCCUUGGUAUUAUGUGGUUGAUGCAAACUGGCCUAAGGGAACAAGCAUGUAAUUCUUCUGUGUGCUUUCAACCUACAGCUUCCCGUUUCUGCUGACGGUGGUACCCUCAACCGCGCUACGAGCUGCCAUGAGGAAAAGGAAGCUUCGCUGCUGAGAUGCUCCGUUUCAAAUAAGGAUGCUAUGAACAUUGAACACUUUGCUUUGCUGCCUCCUCCAAAACAACAAUAGAUAUACAGUUCAGAUAGCUGUGUCUCAUCCUGGCCUGUUUCCUGCUCUUGUAAAGUAGGGAAAAUAAUUGUACUUAUUUCACAGGACUACUGUGAGGGCUGCCUGGGAUAAUGCAUAAUAAAGUGCUUACUAAGUUCCUGGCUUAAUAUUGUUUUAAAAAAAAUUUUUUUUAAUGUUUAUUUUCUGAGAGAGAGAGAGAGACAGAGUGCAACCU